rnacentral:rRNA from 1 species
GAUGAACGCUAGCUACAGGCCUAACACAUGCAAGUCGAGGGACCGGCGCACGGGUGAGUAACACGUAUCCAUCCUGCCCUUUACUCGGGGAUAGCCUUUCGCAAGAAAGAUUAAUACCCGAUGUAAAGGAUGGGGAUGCGUUCCAUUAGGUUGUUGGUAAGGUAACGGCUAACCAAGCCUUCGUUGGAUAGGGGUUCGGAGAGUAAGGUCCACCACAUUGGAGAUAGGGCCCGGACCAAACUCGUACGGGAGGCAGGGGUGAGGAAUAUUGUUGAAGAGGCGUUGGCCUGAACCAGCCAAGUAGCGUAAAGAGUGAAGGCUUAUGGAUCGUCAACUUCUUGUGUAUAAGAAUAGGUAUUAUAUGAAUAAGGAUCGGCUAACUCCGUGCCAGCAGCCGCGGUAAUUC